GAUUAAGCCAUGCAUGUGUAAGUAUAAAUAGUUAACUUUGAAACUGCGAAUGGCUCAGUAUAUCAGUUAUAGUUUAUUUGAUGAAGAAUACUAAUUGGAUAACCGUAGUAAUUCUAGAGCUAAUACAUGUAUAAAGUCUUGUAGACUGCAUUUAUUAGAAUGAAAACCAUAGGUUUCGGCCUAUUCGUGAGUAAUAAUAACUAAUCAUAUCGUAUGCUUAUGUAACGAUGUGUCUUUCAAGUUUCUGCCCUAUCAGCUUUCGAUGGUAGUGUAUUGGACUACCAUG
rnacentral:rRNA from 1 species